UUUUUUUUUUUUUUCCCUAGUUAAUCAUUCACACUGUCGUCCCAGAAUUCUGUGGAACUGGAGCUGAUCCUGUGCUAGUGGUUCUUCCAUUAGGCUGGCUAGCCAGAACCAGGUCUUCCAGAAGUGUGAAACUCUUGUUUCCUUGCAUGAAGCUGACUCCAGACACAAGUUAAUAACAACUUCCUCUGGUCAGGAGCACCCAAUUCCAAUGCUCUCUCCAGCAGUUUCCAAGGCUUCCAGACUCUUUUGCAUCACACAGAGAGGACAGUGACUGCAGUGCUGUGAGUUUACCCAGGAAUGGUACAUAAUUAAAUCUUUGACAGAGAGCUCUAAACACUGUUUUUGGAUCAUGGGGCAGCAUACCAGGACAUGCCUAGAUUGACCAUGAUGCAAUGUGAUCAGAAGAGAACUUCUGGUCUCAAAUGUCCUUUUCUCAUGCAAGAGAAGCAUCCAAAAGCAUCCAAAAUACCUGAAGCAUCCAAAGAAGAGUCACACCACGUGCCCAAGAAUAUUGUCCAAGCACUUCUUGAAUCCUGUCAGGCUUGGUGCUGUGACCACUUCCCUGGGGACCCUGCUUCAGUGCCCAACUACCCUCUGGGUGAAGAUCCUUUUUAUAAUAUCCAACCUAAACCUCCCGUGACACAACUUCAGGCCAUUCCCUUGGGUCUUGUCACUGGAUCCACAGAGAAGAGAUCAGUGUCUGCCCCUCCUCUUCCCCUCACAAAGAAGUUGAAUCUGCAAUGAGGUCUCCCCUCAGUGUCCUCUUCUCACAGAACAAGUGACUUCAGCUGCUCCUCAUAUGUUUUCCCCUCAAGGUCCUACAUGGGAGUCUUUAUGUGCAUUUGCAUUGAUGUCGAAGUGAGGAAAAUGCUGUAAUAUGUUUUCUUCUCCCUAAUGCCCAACAAGGUCCCCAGGGGCUGGUACUCUAUCCAGCUUCACCUCUGCUGUGCUACAAGUGGAGUGCUACAGCUUUUGGAUGAUGUGCCAGCUGUGCCUCUCCUCAAAAAGAAAACAGAAUUUAUUUAAAAUAUAUGUAACAUAUGUUUGAGGCCAUACUUGCUAAUUUCUGGAACCAGAACUAGCCUUUUUAUUUUUAUUCUAUAAUUUGCUUAUUGUCUCAAAGUAAUCAAGCCAGGAAUCAGAGGAUUUGGCUUCUCUGAGGACUGCAUCUGCCUCAAGUUCUACAGAAGGUGCUCGUGUUUUGGUGUUGCUUCCUUUUUUCCCUUUUUUUUUUUCCCUUGGCUUGUCUUCACAGGGUUUUUUCCCUUGAUUCCUUUCUAUUUUUGCAUUAGAUCAACUAAACACAUGACACCUUAUACUACACUCUCUGUGCCCCCUGCUCUCAAUUCUGGCCAAGAUAUACGGACAGAGAUUUCCUCUCUCCCAGGGGUAAUGAGUCACAAAGUCUGCAUGAUUAGAAGGAAGGGUUAGGGUUUCACCUGCCUUUUGGGAGAUAAUUUUCUCCUUCAGAUACCAUUCCUAAUCCUACACUUGCUGCAGAUGCACUCUACUACAAAACCUGCAGAAAUAAGUCCUCCCUAGGGACUACGGUACUAUUCAUCACUUUAUGGAAGGUGUUUCUUCCCCACAUUUAUCCCUAAAGGGUUAGAAUCGACAUUUGGCACUGAAACUUGUUUAAAUUCUUUUUUUUUUUUUUGUUUUGUUUCAAGUUUUGAUGAAGUUUAACCACUGAGAUAGUCCAGGUUUCUGCAUGAAGCAACAAAAGGGCACAGAUAGUGCUCAGUGGGCAGUCUCUCUGAUGUUGCGGGGGGGUUUAUAAUGCAGACGGUGUAGAUGCAUUUGGGCCAGUUCUACUUGGAUGCAGCUGGCUGUGCAAGCAUGGAGCUUGGUGAAGAACAACAGUUCACCAGCCUUCUAGGCUAUAAGUGCUCUGUGUUGUUGUAGCAUUAGUGCUGACAUUGAGUUGGUCAAGAUCUUGUGUCCUAGUCUUUCCACUGCUGCUUGAUUUUUUUUUCCUCUUCCUUCAUUUCCCUAGGGAAUACUGAGCUGAUGAGAUUUUGUACAAAAUUACUCCCUGCAACAGUAAAAGGCAACACAGAUCUCUGCUUAUGUGGAAGUCUCUGUGGCAUGCCCAGGCUGUGUGUUUGAGGCUUUAGGCAUCCCAGUUCACCACUUACUUACCUGUCAGGUCUGAGACAUGAAAUAUAGAAGCUGAAGGUACUGGUAACUGGAAUUCAUUGUUACACCCAGAUAUUUAGCUGACACAUCCAAAAGGUUGAAUAAGUUUAUGAUCAAUAAGAAAUCCAUGUAAGUACAGAGCUGAAGAAGGCUACAAGCAAGUGAUGCACUCUACUAACCACUGACCAGGGAAGACUAUGCACCUCCACACGUGUAUUCAGUCUUCAUAGGAGAGUGGUUCCUCUGAAACCUCUGGUAUUGCUUGUUACUGGAGACAGAGCUCAGUGGAGUAAUUACUUCUAUCAUGACGACAGAUACUCCAAUGACAUCAGUGGAAAUCCUUUUCAUGGUGCUGAAUUACAGCUUGACAGCAGCAAUCUCAUGACACACUCUUUCUGAUUCCACACCUGCGUCGUGACAACUGUAUUGCUUGGUUACAUGAAAACAAUAUCACUGCCUAAGGGGAAGACAAAAUGACAAUAAAUUUAUUUUUAUGAGA